UAUAAUACCAGUCCAGGGGAGGGUACUAGGUAGAAAGGGCCCCCUGUCUGUCUCAGCUGUAAUGCCAGUCCAGGGGAGGGUACUAGGUAGAAAGGGCCCCCUGUCUGUCUCAGCUGUAAUACCAGUCCAGGGAAGGGUACUAGGUAGAAAGGGCCCCCUGUCUGUCUCAGCUGUAAUACCAGUCCAGGGAAGGGUACUAGGUAGAAAGGGCCCCCUGUCUCAGCUGUAAUACCAGUCCAGGGGAGGGUACUAGGUAGAAAGGGCCCCCUGUCUGUGUCAGCUGUAAUACCAGUCCAGGAGAGGGUACUAGGUAGAACCCCCUGUCUGUCUCAGCUGUAAUACCAGUCCAGGGGAGGGUACUAGGUAGAAAGGGCCCCCUGUCUGUCUCAGCUGUAAUACCAGUCCAGGAGAGGGUACUAGGUAGAACCCCCUGUCUGUCUCAGCUGUAAUACCAGUCCAGGGGAGGGUACUAGGUAGAAAGGGCCCCCUGUCUGUGUCAGCUGUAAUACCAGUCCAGGAGAGGGUACUAGGUAGAACCCCCUGUCUGUCUCAGCUGUAAUACCAGUCCAGGGGAGGGUACUAGGUAGAAAGGGCCCCCUGUCUGUCUCAGCUGUAAUACCAGUCCAGGGGAGGGUACUAGGUAGAAAGGGCCCCCUGUCUGUCUCAGCUGUAAUACCAGUCCAGGGGAGGGUACUAGGUAGUUACAGACAGACAGGUUGUGUAGUCUAGGACAGGUCAGUUACACUAGGAGAUAGAUGGUUACAGACAGACAGACAGGUUGUGUAGUCUAGGACAGGUCAGUUCCACUAGGAGAUAGAUGGUUACAGACAGACAGGUCAGUUCCACUAGGAGAUAGAUGGUUACAGACAGACAGGUCAGUUCCACUAGGAGAUAGGUGGUUACAGACAGACAGGUCAGUUCCACUAGGAGAUAGGUGGUUACAGACAGACAGGUCAGUUACACUAGGAGAUAGAUGGUUACAGACAGACAGGUCAGUUCCACUAGGAGAUAGAUGGUUACAGACAGACAGGUCAGUUACACUAGGAGAUAGAUGGUUACAGACAGACAGGUCAGUUACCCUAGGAGAUAGAUGGUUACAGACAGGUCAGUUCCACUAGGAGAUAGAUGGUUACAGACAGACAGGUCAGUUACCCUAGGAGAUAGGUGGUUACAGACAGACAGGUCAGUUCCACUAGGAGAUAGGUGGUUACAGACAGACAGGUCAGUUC